rnacentral:sRNA from 1 species
GCUGGACAUGGUGGUGCGCCUGUAUUCCCAGCUGCUUGGGAGGAUGAGGCGGGAGGGUCUCUUGCGCCCAGGAGUUCAAGGCCAGUCUGGGCAACAUAUGGAGACCCCAUCUCAA